CGCCGCCAUCCGCAUCGGCCAGAGCGGGGCUGUGAUCUGUGAUCCGUGCACGCCGCGUCACACGGGGGAUUCACCGGCGCAGUCGCAGUCAGAGAACAGCAGCAACAGCAGCAGGCGGAGGUUGAGCUGCAGGAGGUGGGACAGCUGCAGGAGGCGGGACAGCAGCUGCACCUGCAGCGCCGCAGACAGCUGAUCCCCAGGGCCAGACUAGCCACCAGCUGGGCCAGCCGACACCAGCGCCACCACCACCAUCUCCACCACCUGCACGACCAGUACCAGUACCACAUCCAGGGGUGGCCGGAAGCAGAGGAGCGUCGCGCGCCCGUGGACUGGGGCAGCGGCAGGGAC